CAGCAGCCACGGUAAUACGAAGGGGGCUAGCGUUGUUCGGAAUUACUGGGCGUAAAGCGCACGUAGGCGGAUAUUUAAGUCAGGGGUGAAAUCCCGCAGCUCAACUGCGGAACUGCCUUUGAUACUGGGUAUCUUGAGUAUGGAAGAGGUUAGUGGAAUUGCGAGUGUAGAGGUGAAAUUCGUAGAUAUUCGCAGGAACACCAGUGGCGAAGGCGGCUAACUGGUCCAUAACUGACGCUGAGGUGCGAAAGCGUGGGGAGCAAACAGGAUUAGAUACCCCUGUAGUCCCUGUCUCUUAUAC
rnacentral:rRNA from 1 species